rnacentral:rRNA from 1 species
AGAGUUUGAUCCGGCUCAGAACGAACUCUGGCGGCGCGUCUUAAGCAUGCAAGUCGGGCGGGAUCCAUGCGCUUGCGCAUGGUGAGAGCGGCGGACUGGCGAGUAACACGUGGGCGACGCGCCCUCCGGACGGGAAUAGCCUGUAGAAAUACAGGGUAAUGCCGGAUGCGAACGCGCGCGCUGGAGGCGCGCGUGGAAAGCCCUCACGGGGGCGCCGGAGGAGCGGCCCGCGGCCCAUCAGCUUGUAGGCGGUGCAAGGGACCACCUAGGCUACGACGGGUACCCGGCCUCAGAGGGCGGACGGGCGCAUUGGGACUGAGAUACGGCCCAGACUCCUACGGGAGGCAGCAGCUAAGAAUAUUCCGCAAUGGGGGGAACCCUGACGGAGCGACGCCGCGUGGGCGAGGAAGGCCGGAAGGUUGUAAAGCCCUUUUGCGCGCGAGGAAUAAGGGGAGGAGGGAAUGCCUUCCCGGUGACUGUAGCGCGCGAAUAAGCGCCGGCUAAUUACGUGCCAGCAGCCGCGGUAACACGUAAGGCGCGAGCGUUGUUCGGAAUCAUUGGGCGUAAAGGGCGUGUAGGCGGCCCUGCAAGCCUGGCGUGAAAUCCCGGGGCUCAACCCCGGAACCGCGCUGGGAACUGCUGGGCUGGAGCCGCUGUGGCGCAGCCGGAAUUCCAGGUGUAGGGGUGAAAUCUGUAGAUAUCUGGAAGAACACCGAUGGCGAAGGCAGGCUGCGAGCGGACGGCUGACGCUGAGGCGCGAAGGCGCGGGGAGCGAACAGGAUUAGAUACCCUGGUAGUCCGCGCAGUAAACGAUGCACACUGGGUGUCCGGGGCUGAACCCGGGUGCCG